UCCUGGCUCAGGAUGAACGCUGGCGGCGUGCCUAACACAUGCAAGUUGAGCGAUUUACUUCGGUAAAGAGCGGCGGACGGGUGAGUAACGCGUGGGUAACCUACCCUGUACACACGGAUAACAUACCGAAAGGUAUGCUAAUACGGGAUAAUAUAUUUGAGAGGCAUCUCUUGAAUAUCAAAGGUGAGCCAGUACAGGAUGGACCCGCGUCUGAUUAGCUAGUUGGUAAGGUAACGGCUUACCAAGGCGACGAUCAGUAGCCGACCUGAGAGGGUGAUCGGCCACAUUGGAACUGAGACACGGUCCAAACUCCUACGGGAGGCAGCAGUGGGGAAUAUUGCACAAUGGGCGAAAGCCUGAUGCAGCAACGCCGCGUGAGUGAUGAAGGCCUUCGGGUCGUAAAACUCUGUCCUCAAGGAAGAUAAUGACGGUACUUGAGGAGGAAGCCCCGGCUAACUACGUGCCAGCAGCCGCGGUAAUACGUAGGGGGCUAGCGUUAUCCGGAUUUACUGGGCGUAAAGGGUGCGUAGGCGGUCUUUCAAGUCAGGAGUGAAAGGCUACGGCUCAACCGUAGUAAGCUCUUGAAACUGGGAGACUUGAGUGCAGGAGAGGAGAGUGGAAUUCCUAGUGUAGCGGUGAAAUGCGUAGAUAUUAGGAGGAACACCAGUUGCGAAGGCGGCUCUCUGGACUGUAACUGACGCUGAGGCACGAAAGCGUGGGGAGCAAACAGGAUUAGAUACCCUGGUAGUCCACGCUGUAAACGAUGAGUAC
rnacentral:rRNA from 1 species